UCCCUCUUUUUCAACUUGGGGAGUUCCAGGCAUAAAGAAUGGGUAAAGCUUGUUCAUCUGAGAUAUUGCUCAAACUCUGUUCACGGAAAACUACCCUGUUAAAGGAAUGCAUGUGCCCAUAGGACUUGGGUUUUAAGUCCCUUUGGAUUCUCAAGACUAUGAGGACUAAUAGCACAUAACCUCCACCUUUGUUUCUUGGACUCCUUCAUCUUGUUUCUUCUUAUAUCACUUUGUGGAAGCCUACUCUGCAGGAGGAAACCAGGGACAUACCUUUCUUAAACACAUAAUAGCCAAGAAAUGUGCUAUUCACAUGACACCUUGAAGUUCAAUGACGAUGGCAGUGUGGCUGAGAUAUGAAGCUGGGUCACAUCCCUCAAAGCUGGAGGCAAGGAAGUGGAUUACUCUGCUCUUCAAAUGCUUUCCUUGGGCCAAGAACAACACAAUCAGUACUGGAAGGUUGACCCAGGAGGCAACAUCACUUUGUGGGGAAAUUCCUGAAUAAGGAAUAUUAAGACCAAUGUGUUUCCUACCAGUUCUACAACUGAUUUGCUGAUUGACCUGGGCAAGUUACUUGACCCUUAAGCCCCAGGAUCCUUGGUUGUAUGAAAUGAUAUUCGCUUCUCAGAUAACACUCAAGACUGUC